AUUGAACGCUGGCGGCAGGCCUAACACAUGCAAGUCGAGCGGAGCGGCGGACGGGUGAGUAAUGCAUAGGAAUCUGCCUGGUAGUGGGGGAUAACGUCCGGAAACGGGCGCUAAUACCGCAUACUAUCAGAUUAGCCUAGGUCGGAUUAUCUUGUUGGGUGGGUAAAGGCCUACCAAGGCGACGUGCCGUAACUGGACUGAUAGGAUGAUGAGUCACACUGGAACUGGUACACGGUCCAAACUCCUACGGGAGGCAGCAGUGGGGAAUAUUGGACAAUGGGCGGAAGCCUGAUCCAACCAUGCCGCGUGUGUGAAGAAGGUCUUCGGAUUGUAAAGCACUUUAAGUUGGGAGGCGUUACCAACAGAAUAAGCACCGGCUAACUUCGUGCCAGCAGCCGCGGUAAUUC
rnacentral:rRNA from 1 species